GAUAAGUGCUGAAAGCAUCUAAGCAUGAAGCCCCCCUCAAGAUGAGAUUUCCCAACUUCGGUUAUAAGAUCCCUCAAAGAUGAUGAGGUUAAUAGGUUCGAGGUGGAAGCAUGGUGACAUGUGGAGCUGACGAAUACUAAUCGAUCGAAGACUUAAUCAA
rnacentral:rRNA from 1 species